rnacentral:rRNA from 1 species
UCCAGACUCCUACGGGAGGCAGCAGUGGGGAAUAUUGCACAAUGGGGGAAACCCUGAUGCAGCAACGCCGCGUGAGUGAAGAAGUCAUUCGUGAUGUAAAGCCCUAUCAGCAGGGAAGAAGAAAUGACGGUACCUGAGUAAGAAGCACCGGCUAAAUACGUGCCAGCAGCCGCGGUAAUACGUAUGGUGCAAGCGUUAUCCGGAUUUACUGGGUGUAAAGGGAGCGCAGGCGGCACGGCAAGCCUGAUGUGAAAGCCCGCGGCCCAACCGCGGGACUGCAUUGGGAACUACCGGGCUGGAGUGCCGGAGAGGUAGGCGGAAUUCCUAGUGUAGCGGUGAAAUGCGUAGAUAUUAGGAGGAACACCAGUGGCGAAGGCGGCCUGCUGGACGAUGACUGACGUUGAGGCUCGAAAGCGUGGGGAGCAAACAGGAUUAGAUACCCGGGUACGU